rnacentral:rRNA from 1 species
AACGAACGCUGGCGGCAUGCCUAACACAUGCAAGUCGAACGGGACCUUCGGGUCUAGUGGCGCACGGGUGCGUAACGCGUGGGAACCUGCCCUUAGGUUCGGAAUAACUCCCCGAAAGGGGUGCUAAUACCGGAUAAUGUCUUCGGACCAAAGAUUUAUCGCCUUUGGAUGGGCCCGCGUUGGAUUAGCUAGUUGGUAGGGUAAAAGCCUACCAAGGCUACGAUCCAUAGCUGGUCUGAGAGGAUGAUCAGCCACACUGGGACUGAGACACGGCCCAGACUCCUACGCGAGGCAGCAGUGGGGAAUAUUGGACAAUGGGCGAAAGCAUGAUCCAGCAAGGCCGCGUGAGUGAUGAAGGCCUUAGGGUUGUAAAGCUGUUUUACCCGGGAUGAUAAUGACAGUACCGGGAGAAUAAGCACCGGCUAACUCCGUG